GUCGGUGUAGCUCAGUUGGUAGAGCGAACAGGCUAAAAACCUGUUAGGUCAUUUGUUCGAGUCAAAUCACCGGCUCAA
rnacentral:tRNA from 1 species